GAUGCCCCGGAAAUAGCCUAUCAGUGGCUGAGGGGCCAAGUAGACAGGCUCUGGCUGAGCUCCUGAGACUUCCUGGCCCUCAGGCCACACAGCACUUCAGAAACAGAAGCAAGAAAGACCCUGAAGAUGCAUUAAAAAAAAAAAAAAGAAGAAGAAAAAGAAGAAGAACAGAUAUGGCUUAAGGAAAACCAUUAUUGGAUAUUUGCUGUAGAAGACAUCAUAAAUCAAGGUUUGCUCUCCCGAGUGAGACCAUAAAUUGCUUGAGAACCAGGAUGGUGUCGUAUUUUGGGUACUGUCACAUGCAGCACCUCAUUUAGAUGUGUCUGGAGUCUUGGAAGCUUGACUACCCUAUGUUCUUCUACAAAUGGGCCUUGAGAGCUUGAUCGAAUGUUCUAGAAGAGGAGCACAGAACUCAGAUACCGUUGAUGAAAGAAUGAUCCUCCUCAAUCGGGGAAGGGUUAACUUCUGGGAUAGGCGCAUCUCCAUGUCCAGCCCACAGGCAUGCAACAUAAGCCAGGAGGAGAAGAGAGAAAUCUGGGUUCUGGCUCCAGCCAGAUUACAAACAAGUCACUCUGCCUUUCUAGAAUUUUCUUUUAUCCUGGGUCAAAUGGAAUUAUGAGGUUCACUCUUGCCCCUUCUCAGUUUGAUCAUCUGUAACUUUGUGAUGCCAUCGGAUAUUCGUUGUGUUUAAGCUGCCAGAGAUGGACAAGAUCCUCAGUCGUCAAAGCAAGAUUAGGAGAGACUCAAAAUUCUUUCCUCACUGAAGCAAGAAAGUGGAAUAAAUAAACAACUUAGGAGGAUUUUUAAC